rnacentral:rRNA from 1 species
UACGUAGGGGGCAAGCGUUGUCCGGAUUCAUUGGGCGUAAAGAGCGUGUAGGCGGCCAGGUAGGUCGGUUGUGAAAACUGGAGGCUCAAUCUUCAGAGGUCGACCGAAACCAUCUGGCUAGAGUCCGGGAGAGGAGAGUGGAAUUCCUGGUGUAGAGGUGAAAUUCGUAGAUAUCAGGAGGAACACCAGUGGCGAAGGCGGCUUCAGUGCCGCUACGU